CCGUGCUAGACGGGGAGUUAGCGGUGCCCUGUAGCCCGCAAUCCGCUUCAGCGGGGUCGAACUCCCUCUCGAGGGCGGUCCGUGUUGAGUGAGCCUCGUGGGGAGGCGUUGACGGUUGGGCCCCACGCAACGAGAAUCGUCGAACCCCGCCAGGCCCGGAAGGGAGCAACGGUAAGGCGACCCUCUCGUGUGCCGUGGGAGUACCUGACCCGAGCCGGCUCCGCGGGGAGUUCGCAGGGCGGAUCGAUCGAAGGAGGGUGCACGG
rfam:Candidatus Rokubacteria bacterium RIFCSPLOWO2_02_FTLL_72_37 rifcsplowo2_02_scaffold_38136, whole genome shotgun sequence.